UACGUAGGGCGCAAGCGUUGUCCGGAAUUAUUGGGCGUAAAGAGCUCGUAGGCGGCCAGUUGCGUCUGCUGUGAAAUCCCGGGGCUCAACCCCGGGCGUGCAGUGGAUACGGGCUGGCUAGAGGCAGGCAGGGGAGAACGGAAUUCCCGGUGUAGCGGUGAAAUGCGCAGAUAUCGGGAGGAACACCGGUGGCGAAGGCGGUUCUCUGGGCCUGUACUGACGCUGAGGAGCGAAAGCGUGGGGAGC
rnacentral:rRNA from 1 species